GACGAACGCUGGCGGCGUGCUUAACACAUGCAAGUCGAACGGAAAGGCCCUGCUUUUGUGGGGUGCUCGAGUGGCGAACGGGUGAGUAACACGUGAGUAACCUGCCCUUGACUUUGGGAUAACUUCAGGAAACUGGGGCUAAUACCGGAUAGGAGCUCCUGCUGCAUGGUGGGGGUUGGAAAGUUUCGGCGGUUGGGGAUGGACUCGCGGCUUAUCAGCUUGUUGGUGGGGUAGUGGCUUACCAAGGCUUUGACGGGUAGCCGGCCUGAGAGGGUGACCGGCCACAUUGGGACUGAGAUACGGCCCAGACUCCUACGGGAGGCAGCAGUGGGGAAUAUUGCACAAUGGGCGGAAGCCUGAUGCAGCAACGCCGCGUGCGGGAUGACAGCCUUCGGGUUGUAAACCGCUUUCGCCUGUGGCGAAGCGUGAGUGACGGUAAUGGGUAAAGAAGCACCGGCUAACUACGUG
rnacentral:rRNA from 1 species